rnacentral:rRNA from 1 species
CGAGGGGGCAAGCGUUGUUCGGAAUUACUGGGCGUAAAGGGCGCGUAGGCGGCCUUCUAAGUCGAACGUGAAAUCCCCGGGCUCAACCCGGGAACUGCGUCCGAUACUGGAAGGCUUGAAUCCGGGAGAGGGAUGCGGAAUUCCAGGUGUAGCGGUGAAAUGCGUAGAUAUCUGGAGGAACACCGGUGGCGAAGGCGGCAUCCUGGACCGGUAUUGACGCUGAGGCGCGAAAGCCAGGGGAGCAAACGGGAUUAGAUACCCCGGUAGUCCUGGCCCUAAACGAUGAAUGCUUGGUGUGGCGGGUAUCGAUCCCUGCCGUGCCGAAGCUAACGCAUUAAGCAUUCCGCCUGGGGAGUACGGUCGCAAGGCUG